GCUGUUUCCAUCUUCAUCUGUUCAAAACAGUCAUGGGGAACAUCUGGGUCAGGAUCUAUGGGAGGGGCAUCUUCACAUAUUUCUGUGUGAUAUUGUGGGUAACCAGUAGUCUUACAAUUCACAGUUCGUUUGGUAACACCUUCUGUGGAGAGUUGGUCUUGAUCUGUUGCACUCCAUGCUUUGGCUAAUGGACCAAGUUCCUUCCAUGAGAUAUUUGGAGAUUUAGUAAUAGAGACAUGAGGAACUGCCAUCUCCCAAUGGUGGUACAUAUGAGUCACUUCUGUGGGUAAUUGAACUAACACUACAGUGUUACCUUUUGUAUCACAGUAUAUGUCUGUCAAGGUGAGGCGUACUUCAAUCAAUUGAAACAGUUCUUCUUCAUACUGAGGGUCAGGCCCCGGAACGUCUCUGAACCACAAAGUACAAUGCCAUAGAGGAGAUGGCUGUUCAUCGUGUGGUACUGUGGGCAUAUGGACAUCCAGAUCAAGGAAGGCAUCAGGAUCUAUGUUCAGACCGUACCAAUAGUGUGGUACUCCCCCCUUGGGAAGCGGCAGAAGAGUGGCAGGAUUCAAAGUGUAACAUCGCUGUAAGGAGACAUUAUCGGGUAACAUUAAAGUUGUUUGGAGACGAAGAUGCCUUUGAGUAGAGAGAUGUUUAGGUUGAACUUGAUUCAAUAUUGCAGAAAGAUCAUGGGGGGCGAGAAUGGUUAGCUUGUGACCAAGGAUUAUGUCACACGUCUUGUCCAGUAGAGCACUUGCCGCAAAUACAGCCCGAAGACAGGAGGGUCCUCCCCUGGCCACAGGAUCCAACUGACAGGAGUAAUACCCUAUUGGACGUUGACGAGACCCAUGAGACUGAGUGAGAACACCAGAUGCAUGUCCCAUUUUUUCGUAGACAAAGAGCUUGAAGGGCUUCUCGUAAUUGGGAAGGCCCAGAGCAGGAGCAGUAACAACAGCACGUCGUAAUGCGAAGAAGCUGGUAAGGGCUUCAGGAGAUAAAUCAAACGGUUCAGUUUUGAGGGCAUCGUAGAGUGGCUGCAUCAGUGUAGAGGCUUCAGGAAUCCAGGCUCUACAGUAAGAGAUAAGACCUAGGAAGGCAUGGAGGGACUUGUGAGCCGAUGGAGGGCAGAGUGAUGUGAUACCCCGCACUCUGUCUCUAGUAAGGUGCCGGGUGCCAUGAGAAAGACAAUGCCCCAAAAAUAUCACCGAGGGUCGGCACCACUGCAAUUUCUUCUUAGAUGCUUUACAACCUUGGGCGGCCAGGAAACAGAGGAAAUCUUCAGAGACACAUUCUGCAGUCGGGAGAUCGUCAGCACAGAGAAGGAGAUCGUCCACGUAUUGCAGGAGGACCACCUCUGUGUGAGAUUUCUGCCAUGGUUCCAGGAUGUAUGCCAUGGCUCUUGCAAACUGGCUUGGGGAAUUUUGUGCUCCCUGGGGCAUGACUGUCCAGGUAUAUUGUUGGCGGUCAUGGGUAAAUGCAAACAGGUAUUGACAAGAGGGAUGCAAAGGCACGCUGAUGAAGGCAUUGGCCAAAUCCACCACCGUGAAGAAUUUAGCUGAAGGAGGGACCUGGGAUAGAAGAGUAUGAGGAUUUGGAACAAUGGGAGUUUCCAAGACGGUAACAUCAUUGACUGCUCUGAGGUCUUGAACCAUCCUGUACUUGUCCGGUUCGCCCUUUUCAGUCUUUUUCUUAACUGGAAACAAAGGAGUGUUACAAGGCGACACACAUUUAAUCAGUGCACCCGCAGCCAGCAGAGUUUCAACCUGUUUGGAGAUAGAGAGGGCCUGAGCAGGUGUCAAUGGAUAUUGUGGUCUUCUGGGCGGACUUGCUCCUUGGAGCAACUGCACAAAUAUCGGAGUGACUUUAAGUCGUCCAAUAUCAUCGGGACCAGUAGACCACAGUUGCACAGGAACUCUGUCAAGUGCACUGGGGGAAUUGUCUAGGACCCUUGCAUUCCCAUGGGGUGAUUCCAUGUGGAGUAGGAGGGGUAAAGAACAAAGGGCUGAGGUAUCUUCACUGGAGAGAGGGGUCAAUAACUGAACCUUGCCAUCUGGAGUAAAGGAGAUGGAGGCCUGCAAGCGGGACAGAACAUCAGCUCCCAACAAAUUAAGAGGACAAGAG
rnacentral:lncRNA from 1 species